rnacentral:rRNA from 1 species
GACGAACGCUGGCGGCGUGCCUAAUACAUGCAAGUCGAGCGGACGGAUGGGAGCUUGCUCCCAGACCGUCAGCGGCGGACGGGUGAGUAACACGUGGGCAACCUGCCUGUAAGACUGGGAUAACUCCGGGAAACCGGGGCUAAUACCGGAUAACUCUUUCCCUCACAUGAGGGAAAGCUGAAAGAUGGCAUCUCGCUAUCACUUACAGAUGGGCCCGCGGCGCAUUAGCUAGUUGGUGAGGUAACGGCUAACCAAGGCGACGAUGCGUAGCCGACCUGAGAGGGUGAUCGGCCACACUGGGACUGAGACACGGCCCAGACUCCUACGGGAGGCAGCAGUGGGGAAUCUUCCGCAAUGGACGAAAGUCUGACGGAGCAACGCCGCGUGAGUGAUGAAGGUUUUCGGAUCGUAAACCUCUGUUGUCAGGGAAGAAAAAGUACCGGAGUAACUGCCGGUACCUUGACGGUACCUGACCAGAAAGCCACGGCUAACUACGUG